UCCCCAUCUACAUCUCUAUAUAAAUAACCCCUUGGAGGCGAUACAACCAAAGAACGCACGCCUAUCCUCUUCUAUCUACUCAACAUUCAGGUUGGACCACUUGCCGAUAGCAGUAGCUGAGGGUGAUAGGUUUGAGAUGGAAAACAUUCAGGAUGAAAGCACCGGAUCGUCAUCUCCUAGUUCAUGUGUAUCAUCCGAUAACAGCCCCGUCAAGUUGAUGCAUGGGGGCUGCCCACGAUGCUAUAUGCAUGUUUUUGUGCAUAGGGAGGACUUCCCUAUGUGCAUCAAUUGCAAGCAGCCCACCCUCCUGAACUUGGAAACUAUGCUUGACAACAUGCAACGUGCCAGGCGCCAGUAAACAAGAGUAGGGCAAUGAUGUCAUGCUUAGUUAACUUGCAUUAUUAUUGUGUAUCUGUGUUCAUCAGUGUUGAAUGCUUAUUUAUUGUCAUAUUGCUCAUGUUUUAAUAUGUAAACAUAUUAAUUAAGGAAAUAAUGGCAAUAAUUGGCACUUGCAUUA